GGGGGAUGAGACAUGCGCCCUUCGGUUCUGCUGGAGGCUCUAUAGCAGAGAAUAUCCCAUGCAUUACAUUAUUUUCUACCCAAUCUCUCUCUAUUCUGUUCUUUUCCCUCUAAUUUAUGCUCUGCUUUCCCACCCUUGUUGUCAUGACAAUGUCUUUCACUAUUUGCAGUAUUCCUGUCCAGUUUCCAGAUUCCCUUUCCAAAUGCAACCGUUCUUUUUUUCCAUUUUGCUUGGCCACCUUGAAUGUCCUGUUAACAGAAGUAAGAGGACUCUUACUUCUUUUUUUCCUCCUGACCUGUGCUCAUCACAAAUGGCCUACAUUUACAGCCUUCUUCAAAAUCUCUGUGCUCAAGGGUCUGACUUCUUAUUCAGAUUUUUCUACCCAGAAGCUUUGUUAGAGAUUUGGAACAACCAACCCAACACUCCUGCUUCAGUGCUGCCUGAAAAUCCUUCAUCUUCCAAGGACCUUCGCUGACUAGACUGUGAUAUAUCCUCUUUAUCUUUGUCAAAGUUCUCUUGGAGUCAGAUAUCUACACCUGUGAUCUGCAAUUUAAUACAUCACUGACCAGACAAAACCAGAACUCACAGCUGAAAUUGGCCAGAAUGGAUUCUGGAGAUGUGUGUCUAUGUAUGUACUUUGUGUGUGUUCCUCCAGUGGGAUUGUUUUUGUACAUAGCUGGACAGAUUGUAGAGAUACUUGAAGGGAUAUUUUGUGUACACUUCAGAGAGGGUCACACAAAGACAACAAAUCCUCUCCAGCUAAGCUCCUCCUGAGGAUCCUACAAAGGAGGAGCUGUUGGCCCAUCAGGGUGGUUGAUCUGCUUUGAACUGAUGGAUGUUAGGAACUGAACUCCAAAAAUGUGUUCUGAAAAAGCAGGAGGCACCUUCCAGGUUGAACAGGAAGUUAAUAUAAAAUAUAAAGCCGUGGUUAGAUCAGCAGAUUAACGGCAGUCAAUCUGGGAUUUACUCAUGGAUUCAGCCACUGGUUCAGUGUGGCCCUGGGUCUAGUGAUCUCCCAGUGCUCUAGUAAAUGUACUAAUCAAGUUUUGCUAGGAGGCCUUACCUAGCUUAAAGCUUAUUUCAUCUUUUGAUGAAAUACUGAUUAUCAGUUAAGUACUGACUAUUAUUUUGCUCUAUUUGGGGUCUAUAGUAAUGACAUUCUGAAACUAGAUUCACUCCCCACCUUCCCACCCUCCUGCCUUCCCCCACUUUUUAUGCAGAGUGCUGAUACACAACAAUUUGCACUUCAUCAAACAGAUAUUUUAUCAUUUGCAUUGCUUGAUAUGUUAAUCCUGCUGAGACAAAUUCACUCUUGAGAGCAGAAUCUGGCUUGUACUUCCCAGUUAGCUUAGACAUCACCUUUUGGACUUUGUUUGAGCACUCAAAACAGAACAUAAAAAUGUGUGAAAAGAAAAAAAUAAAAGGGAGGGGAAUCUGUUUCA
rnacentral:lncRNA from 1 species